AUUUCUUGAACAUUUACUUGCUAACUCCCCAGGGCAUUUUGAAAUUUGUUAUGUGAUCAUCCCAUUAUCUUUCUUAAUGUUGAAUCGGGUUGAUGAUAAUGUCUUAUUAGCCAAAAGUAGUAAAAGUAUACUUUAGUAGUUAUCAUGUCAUAUGCGAUUCAAGCUGAUUGCGUUUAGUUAUUUGGUUCAGCAAUGGAGUUGGCCUUGUUCCUGGAGAAACUAACAAAUGAAAAGCUCUUGAACCUACAUAGUGUAGCUGCGCGGAACCAUGACGGGCAGUUGACAGAAUUCAUCGAACGCAAAUACUAAGCUGAGCAGGUGGAGGCCAUCAAGAAAAUAUCGGAAUACAUGGCUCAAUUAAGCAGAGUUGGAAAAGGACAUGGUAAGAGUCUAAACUUCUUUAGUCUUCUUUUUGUGAAAGGUGAUAUCUUUAACGCUAAAUCACCAUGAUUUCAUCUUGUUAAUCUAUUAUUGGUCUUCAUGCGUUAGAAAUAUCUCUUCAUGUAUUUGUUCCAUUUGCAGUGGAAUUUUUAUAUCGAUGGUAAUGAAAUAUGCAGACAAUAUUGUAAAGGUAAGACAUGAUAUGAAAUUUAUUUCUGCCUAUUGAGUGUGCUGAUCUGGAAAUGUUUCUCUCAUCAUGCAUGUAUUUGUUUCAUGUCAAAUGAAAUAGUAAGAAUUAUGUUAGGUAUUUGUUCAUAGACUGUUUUCUUGCAGUCUCAUAAUUAUGUCAGGAAUUGUUGUAUCGAAGAUAAUUCUGUUGUUGGUUGUUGUUGAUGUUCACUACUUGUUUAGGUGGUUGCUCUUGUAUGCCAAAACUUCAGUUGCAGUCCCCGGUAAGCAACCCUAAAUCCUUACAAGAUCUGCUCUCAAAAAAGUCUUCAUCGCGGUUUGAUGGAUGAAUUAGUCAAGACUCGAAAU